rnacentral:rRNA from 1 species
GNCUCAACACGGGGAAACUCACCAGGUCCANGACACGAUNAGGAUUGACAGAUUGAGAGCUCUUUCUUGAUUUCNUGGGUGGUGGUGCAUGGCCGUUCUUAGUUGGUGGAGUGAUUUGUCUGCUUAAUUGCGAUAACGAACGAGACCUUAACCUGNUAAAUAGCCCGUAUUGCUUUGGCAGUACGCUGGCUUCUUAGAGGGACUAUCGGCUCAAGCCGAUGGAAGUUUGAGGCAAUAACAGGUCUGUGAUGCCCUUAGAUGUUNUGGGCCGCACGCGCGCUACACUGACAGAGCCAGCGAGUACUCCCUUGGCCGGAAGGCCCGGGUAAUCUUGUUAAACUCUGUCGUGCUGGGGAUAGAGCAUUGCAAUUAUUGCUCUUCAACGAGGAAUCCCUAGUAAGCGCAAGUCAUCAGCUUGCGUUGAUUACGUCCCUGCCCUUUGUACACACCGCCCGUCGCUACUACCGAUUGAAUGGCUCAGUGAGGCUUCCGGACUGGCCCAGAGAGGUCGGCAACGACCACUCAGGGCCGGAAAGCUAUCCAAACUCGGUCAUUUAGAGGAAGUAAAAGUCGUAACAAGGU